rnacentral:piRNA from 1 species
UGGAAAUGACCAACAAUUCACCACAUUUAA